UCCCUGGUGGCUGAGAGGGUAAAGCGUCUGCCUGCAUUGCAGAAAACCCGGGUUCCAUCCCUGGGUAGGGAA
rfam:TPA: Bos taurus chromosome 20, whole genome shotgun sequence.